AGAGUUUGAUUAUGGCUCAGGAUGAACGCUAGCGGCAGGCUUAACACAUGCAAGUCGAGGGGCAGCGGGUCCAGCAAUGGAUGCCGGCGACCGGCGAAAGGGUGAGUAACGCGUGAGCAACAUGCCCGACACUGGGGGAUAGUCGAUGGAAACGUCGCGUAAUACCCCGUAACACAAGGGACCGCAUGAUCCUUUGUUGAAAGAUUCAUUGGUGUCGGAUUGGCUCGCGUGCCAUUAGGUAGACGGCGGGGUAACGGCCCACCGUGCCGACGAUGGCUAGGGGUUCUGAGAGGAAGGUCCCCCACAUUGGAACUGAGACACGGUCCAGACUCCUACGGGAGGCAGCAGUGAGGAAUAUUGGACAAUGGCCGGAAGGCUGAUCCAGCCAUGCCCGCGUGCGGGAUGACGGCCCUAUGGGUUGUAAACCGCUUUUGCCGGGGAGCAAUAAGGCCCACGUGUGGGCCGACGAGAGUACCCGGCGAAUAAGCAUCGGCUAACUCCGUGCCAGCCGCGGC
rnacentral:rRNA from 1 species